GUGUCUGCAAGUCGAUCGCCCCCUGACACCCAGACGCACUCGCCUGCACCACAAAUGGGGCUUUGAUUGCCAGUCUAACCCCCCAACUCGCCCGGUGAUGUGAGUAUCCUGUCCAAGAACUGCUAUACCAUAACAACUGGAUGGGUCAUGCUCUGUUACAUAUGAAAUGAUGCCAUUUUCUGGAAUGGGGACGUUUCUUCUCUGUAUCAUCCUGGCUUCACAUGGUGUGUUAUCGGCGGCCCCUCGAGAUGGAGCACCCAGCCAGUUCCUCGGCUCCCCCUGGGCAAGAGCACUGUGCUGUGACCUGCGUGCCGGCCACCUAGAGGGGAGCAGAGAGGGAGAAGGUAGCGGGACCCCGUUGAGUGUGAGGGGCCAUCCAUCUGCCUCCGAAAACGCAGAUGCAGCCCAGUGUCAUUUCAUCCCUUACAGCUCGCCGUCGUCUCCCACC